ACGGCAAGGUCACUCAACGCCAAAUUCCUUUCCAUUCAGCCCCAGCUCCAGGUCCGGGACCAGCUGGGGCUCCUUUACUCCAAGUCAUGAUACCCCGAAGGUACAGGGACACGGCUGGAAGGAGCGAGCCCUCGGGGGCCCCUGGUGGGGUCCCCAGGGGUCCCGUCCUCACCCCUGCAAGCACGCAAGCAGAGGUCUCACCACAGGCGCUGCACUGCGGCUGGCGCUGGGGCAUCCAGCUGGCAGAGCUGUUUCCAUUUCUCUCACACGCCCCCGGAUGGGAAAUGAUUCAUGAAAACCAAGAAGGUAAAAUUAGCCCAAAGGCUGCCGAGUAAUUUAUGCAGCCAACAGGGCCAGGAGGGAGGGAAGGCCCACGCUGCCAGCUCAGUGUGGCCUCCCAGGGGCUGGCAGAGGCCAGCCUGGCCAUCAGGAGCCUCUGUCUCUGGGGUCUUCUAUUUCUGGACUCAGCCUCCAGGGCCGUUGGCAGGCCUUCCGGAACCAUCGCUGACCCCCGCCUCACCACACUCCACAGACCCACAUGGCUGCCGCUGGGGACCUGCUAAGUGCCGGGGGCCUGCUGGGGAGAAGUUCAAGCAUUUCAUCCUGUCAACCCCAAGCCUUCCCAGAAGCCCCGUGACGCAGAUGCAAUUGUCACCUCUAUUUUACAGAGGCUGGAACUGAGGCGCAGAGAGGUGAAGGAGAUUUCCCAGAACCACCAAGAUUUGAAGGCCACCAAGAGCCCACUUGCCACAACAGCCACCCAAGAGACGGGUCACUCAAAAACGCGUCCUUUGAGUAAGGGUAGAAAAACCCAAGUGUGAAGGAGAAAAGUGUCCAGGGCCCGUGGCUACCGUCGGCAGCUCUCUGGGGACUUGGCAGAGGACAGGAGAGUAGCCCUUUCCCCCGGCUCUAAAGAAGAGACACGGGAAUAGUUUGGGAACUACAGGGUGACAUUUGGUUCCGUGCAAAGUCUCAGUGGACAGACU